GAUGAACGCUGGCGGCGUGCUUAACACAUGCAAGUCGAACGGGAUCCAGGCAGCUUGCUGCCUGGUGAGAGUGGCGAACGGGUGAGUAAUGCGUGACCGACCUGCCCCAUACACCGGAAUAGCUCCUGGAAACGGGUGGUAAUGCCGGAUGCUCCGACUCCUCGCAUGGGGUGUCGGGAAAGAUUUCAUCGGUAUGGGAUGGGGUCGCGUCCUAUCAGGUAGUCGGCGGGGUAACGGCCCACCGAGCCUACGACGGGUAGCCGGCCUGAGAGGGCGACCGGCCACAUUGGGACUGAGAUACGGCCCAGACUCCUACGGGAGGCAGCAGUGGGGAAUAUUGCACAAUGGGCGCAAGCCUGAUGCAGCGACGCCGCGUGCGGGAUGACGGCCUUCGGGUUGUAAACCGCUUUUGAUCGGGAGCAAGCCUUCGGGUGAGUGUAC
rnacentral:rRNA from 1 species